rnacentral:lncRNA from 1 species
UACUCCUUCCGUCUGAGGCAUUAUCUCAGACUCAGGAAUAGGAGGAUAGUGCUGAGAUGAUUAUUAUGAUGCUUCAGAUCCAUAGAUGGUCGGAUUAUAUUCAAGUUAUUCUAAACUGCUCUAAAUUUAUUCACUUUAAUCGAAGUUAUCCUAAAUAUAUUUAUACUAAAGCUGAGCUAUCUAGAAUUUUACUCGUACUAAACUGAGCACUGAGUACUUUCUCACAC